UCUGCAUCACCUUGCAGUUUAGGCACUGCUGCUAUUCUGCAGUCCCCUCCCUUUACUCUCUCGCUCUCUUUCUUUCUCUCGUUUUUUGUCUCCCUUUCUCUUUUCCUUUUCCACACCAUAUUUCUCGUUCUCUUUGGCCCUUCACAUCACAAUCUCUCUUACCUUUUCUCUUUCCUUUACUGUCUGGCGUCCACCACUGUGUUUAUUUUGUCAACAUGCACCGGAACGCUUGGAUCUCCAACUAUAUCAACCAUGUCAAGUUGUGUCAGGGAGAAACAGCCACUAAAGUCAGCAAGACCAAACUACAACGGAGAGCUCUUAGCUUCCACAAAGAGUUUUCGUUUGAGGAAAAGGGCGAGGGAACCAACAGCAACAAAGAAUUAGAUGUCAGUCUAUUGACAAAUACACCCAAAGUCUCAGAAUUAAGGAAACGUUUUGAGGGUAUCAGCACAAGUCGGAGUUGGGACAUGAACAGAAAAGAGCGUAUUGCAAGGCGCCUGGAGGGUAUUGAUAGUGAAGUUCUCCAAAAUCUCCCAAGUUGUGCUGGUCUGGUGACCAAUCGGCUGCUAGAGGAGGACACUCCAAGAUACACCCGUGCAGCAGACACCUGUGACCCCUGUUCAGUUUCUCUUCAGCACUAUGGCAAAAGCGAUCCAAACUUCUCAAAAACGCACAACACAGACCACACUGUCCACUCCGAGUCUGCCUACAGCACUGACACCACUCAUGCGCCGGAUCUGGAAUCUAAGGCCGAACGCAUCGCCCGCUACAAGGCGGAGCGGCGACGUCAGCUAGCCGAGCGUUACGGUAUCUCUCUGGAUCAAGAAACGGACACCAGCUACACACCUCGCUUCUCCAGAAGCUCCAGAGAGCCUGACGGUUCAGAUCGACAACGCAGGACAAAGGCAGAAGGAGAAGAGGUGGCGGAGCAUAAUGCUUACACACCUAGUCCUCAUGAAGAUAAGACCAGCUCCCACAUCCACACAGAUCCAGAGUUCACGUGGGAACGUAAAGACUCUCUCUCUGAGCGUGAGAGGUUGAUGAAUCUGGAGAAUCAAAGGAGGGCACAAGAAAGGGAUAGAUUGCAUAGAGGUGGAGGUGUUGCACCUGACCCAUCUGCAACGUAUAUGGAUGUGUCUGGGUCCGCCAGAGUCCCAGCGGUCGUAGGAGUUCCCGGCUCACCCAUUGCAGGCAGAAGGGUCACAAUGCCAUCUCCCAAACAGGGAGCAUCUCCCGGUGACAUGUUUAUUGAGCAACAAUCUCAAAAUAUCCUACACAAACAAGGCUCCCAUAGCCAAUGGUCACUCCAGACUGAUUCGGAAGGAGACACCCUCACUCCGAUCAACUGGCCUUCCAGAAUCCGAGUUAGGGAGCGACUUGCCCGCGAGGAGCCUUUUCACAAGAGUCCAAAGUUGGGCUCCAAAACAGAGGGUCCUGCUUACAACCAGUUUCCCCAGUCAUACCCUCGAUAUCAUUCAAACGCUCCCACAUUCACUGAAACUCCAGCCACACGAUUGACCCAUCAAGAUCUAGAGGAUCGACAUCUUUACUUCUCUAUGGCCUGUGAACCUGGUUUUAAACCUGCACAUGAGAACCAGGAGGUGCUUGAAAAAGCAGAAUACAAAAUGGAGGAACGACAAGACGGAAGGGCGAUUGGUCUCCUGCGCAGCAAGAAGGCUGUGUUACCCUCCGAGAUUCGACGGAAGGAAAAAAGCAUUGAAGAGCCAUGCCGUGGAUAUGCCGAGGCAAAACCAGGGAUCAGUGGGCGUGAAAGGAAGGGUGUUGAAGAAGACCCUAGGGGGAGGCGUGGAGCGCGUGUUUACACAGAGCACGUAUCCCGACUUCAGGCUGCAGAGUCUAUGCAUUUAAAAGCUAAAGAAGCCCAAAGGAGGGCUGAUGCUAGCCUCUUUCAUCAGCAAGGAUCAAGUUAUGCACCACUUCAAACAUCUACACAAGCCUCCAGUGGAGGAUGGGGGCAAAGUUCAUCCAAACCCCUCCCUCACUCCAUGCCAGAUGCUGGAAGUGUCCAAAAGGCUGCUCCUCAUCAAAACCAUAGAGAGGCUGCCCAUCAGGAAAAAGUGCCCAAUGGAGAUCAUCUGUCCAAUGAUGUCAGAGUUUCAGUGGCCAAGCUCCGCCACUCCUACCUGGAAAGUGUUGCAAGCACCCGGAAAACCGAACUGGCAAAGGGACUGCCUGCAGUUACAGAUGUACCCUGGAGAAAUGAAAGAGGCAGAGAUCGGUCGUCUCGUCGACCUAUGAGAUAUAUAUGUCCCACUGAAAGUAGAAAGACAUCUGAGAGGUUUAAAACUCAGCCAAUCACAACAACUGAACACAAACAAACAGACCGGUCUUGUCUAAGCCCUGAACCACUGAGCCCUGAGGUGGACGAGGAGAAGCUGGAUGAGAGAGCAAAGCUGAGCGUGGCUGCCAAGCGCUCUCUCUUUAGGGAGCUAGAGAAAACUUCUGAUGGUUCGGUUCUGAAGUCAUGGAGCCGUAACCCCGGCGCGGAGCGGAGGCUGAGGAGAGGUCAUGAUCGCUCCCGUACUCAGCCUGUGACCUCUGAGGAAGUGGUCAUUGCUGCUAGUGUCCCUGGCAAUUUGUCCCAGUCCGAGACUGUACAAACUUCUGUAGCACGUGUCCCUAGCCCCACUAUAAUCCACAGCUCUGUAACCAAAAGCAGCUUGCAGGCAUCAUCUCAGCAGAGCUCUAUGGUGAGGGAGCAGGCCAGAGAGGUUCGGCUGGCUCAGGAGGCUGCGGAGAUGAAUCGAGCUCACCACACAUCUCCUGGACAGGAUGUGCAGGAGGAGCCAGAUCUUUCCACGCUUACGCUAGCAGAGAAGAUGGCACUCUUUAAUCGCCUAGCGCAGUCAUCCGGCCAUGGUCCUCGGGUUAGAAGUGACACUCGGGCACGCAGGAGUAACGCCCGCUACCAGACCCAGCCAAUCACAUUAGGAGAGGUCGAACAGGAUGGUUCUGAGAUGUUUGACGAGGAGUCUGAGUUCUCAGUGGGUCUGAGUGAUCUGGAACAUCUGCAGCCUCAGGGUGGAAGUCGUUUUGCAUCCACCUCUUCCUCUGCCCUUAAAUCAUCAACGGUUUCCACCGAACAUGCCGGUGACAUCCACCUUGCCGCACCCAGUGUAUCUGGCCCCGCCUACUAUGAGCAGGUUCUGUCCCCACCGCACCACUCUCAAUCUGCCCGAGAGCUCCAGAACCAUCAGGGACCAGAUGUGUCACCUGUAGCCCAAAGAGAAAGUCUGGUGAUGGGCAUGGGGAAGAGGAAGCUCCCCUCUCCAGAAAGCCCAAAACAGACACCGCACGCUCAGCCAUCCAGAGAGUGGGAGGAGUAUAAAGGGCACCAUAUGGAGCCGGUCACCUCUCAUGACUUUUCUGAAACAGAUGGAGAGCACAAGUCAAAGGCAGCUAUUUCAGAUCUUCCUGUCCACACAGCCACAGUACGUGCAGUGACAGCUGCGUCGCAGGACUCGUCCUCUUUACGGGCUUUGUCUCUCACUCAGCAUACGCACGCACAGACACACACAGAGUCUGGCACACACCUCCUCGAGGAGGACGCGAGAGAGCAGGAGUACGAAACAGAAGAGGGAGACGAUAUCGCAGACAUCAUGUCUGCCAGACAGAUGUCCAUUAAAGAGAGGCUGGCUCUGUUGAAGAAGAGUGGAGAGGAAGACUGGAGGAACAGGAUCAAUAAAAAACAGGAUGUGGUAAAGGUUGCCCUGUCUGAAAAACACGCCCAGCUGUGGGAAGUGGAGCAGAGCUUCAAGAAGAAGGAUGAUGAGAUGAUGAUAGAUGACUUUGCAGUUUCUGAUCAACUUUGGGACCCUGUCUUUUCCUCCUCCUUUUCGUGUGCCUCUGAACCACUGGAUCAUAUACCCAUUUUCCCCCAGGCUUCCCCCCUGCCCAUGCAGGUGGAUGAGCGUCACCCCUGGAGACGGAAGAGGAUUGGAGAUGAGGCGGAGAGCCAGCGAAUCGAGAUGUCCAUUCAGGAGCGCAAACAGCUUAUCACCGCACAGGAAGAGGCCUGGAAGGUCAAAGGUUACGGAGCAGCAAAUGACUCUACCCAGUUUACUGUGGCUGGCCGAAUGGUCAAGAAGGGUCUGGCAGCACCCUCUGUGCUUUCAAAUCCAGUGUUGUCCCCUCUUCCCUCUAAGACCAAGAACGCCUCCCAUGCCAUUUCAAAGCCAUAUGAAGAGAUUGAAGUCAGACAGGACAUGAAGCUGGAAUCAGACAAGAAGCUGGAAAAGUUGGAGUCAUUCCUUGGUCGACUAAAUAGUAAAGUUUUAGGACUUCAGGAGAGCACAAUUGCAGUCACAGAGAAGUCUGUUAAAGAGGUCAUGACCCUUGAGGAUGAAACCUUUGAUAAGUUUUAUCGGCACACAGAGGAUAUUGCCAAGAUCACUGGCAGAGUGGAAAUCAAUGAUGAUUUCGAUACCAUCUUUGGAACACAGCAGCCCAGGUUGACCUCAGAGAUGGUGCAGCACAAGCGAGCAGUUCGGCCAACCAGGAACGUUCAGUCUUCCAAGAACCCCCUGAAAACAUUGGCUGUUCGGGAGGACAUCAGACACGAGUACACGGAGCAGAGACUUAACAUCGGCCUUCUGGAAAGCAAGAGGAUGAGACAGGAAAAGAUGAAUAAAAACAGUGGAUUCUCUGAAGUUGCUCUCGCUGGAUUGGCCAGUAAGGAAAAUUUUAGCAAUGUGAAUCUGCGAAGUGUGAACGUCUCCGAGCAGAGCUCCAACAACAGUGCCAUGCCUUAUAAAAAACUCAUGCUCAUUCAGGUCAAAGGUCGUCGGCACGUCCAGACCAGAUUGGUGGAGCCCAGAUCAUCUUCUUUAAACAGUGGCGAUUGCUUCCUCUUGAUCACGCCUCAUCACUGCUUCAUCUGGAUCGGGGAAUUUGCAAAUGUUAUCGAGAAGGCCAAAGCCUCAGAGUUGGCCACGUUCAUUCAGACAAAGCACGACCUGGGCUGCAGGGCUUCAUACGUGCAGACCAUUGAAGAAGGUGCCAACACUCAUACUCCUGCAGCCAAAGAGUUCUGGAAGAUUCUCGGUGGCCAAGCAAGUUAUCAGUCCGCAGGCACGCCAGAAGAGGAUGAGUUUUACGAGAAUGCUGUGGUGGAGACCAACUGUAUCUACAGACUGUUGGAGGAUAAACUUGUUCCUGAUGAUGACUACUGGGGUCGAGUGCCUCGCUGCUCUAUGCUCAACUCUAAAGAGGUGCUAGUGUUUGAUUUUGGUAGCGAGGUAUACGUGUGGCAUGGUAAGGAGGUGAUGCUGACCCAGAGAAAAGUGGCUUUUCAGUUGGCUAAGCACCUGUGGAACGGCACUUUCGAUUAUAGCAACUGUGAUAUAAAUCCUCUGGAUCCCGGAGAAUGCAACUCACUCAUACCCAGAAAGGGUCAGGGACGACCAGACUGGGCUGUUUUUGGCAGGUUAACUCAGCACAAUGAAACUACUCUGUUUAAAGAGAAGUUCUUGGACUGGACUGACGCUAAGAAACUAUCAAGAAAAAAUGACUGCGCGCUUGGUGUUGAAAACAAGGAGCUUCGGAGCGGGGAAUGUAGGCCCUAUGAUGCAUCUCUUAUGUUGCCGAUGGUACGGGUGCCGGUGAGGACCGUUUUGGAUGGGGUGGAUAUUGGACGAGGUUAUGGAUUGGUGGAGGGCGACGAGGGGCGGAACUUUGAGAUUAGCACGUUGUCCGUUGAUGUCUGGCACAUUCUAGAGUUUGACUACAGUCGUCUACCCAAACAGAGCAUUGGACAGUUCCAUGAAGGGGACACGUAUGUUGUCAAAUGGAAGUACAUGAUCAGCACAGCAGUUGGAAAAAGGCUGAAUCCAGAAAGGAUCAUUGGUCCAGGGAAGGAGAAGUGUUGUUAUUUCUUCUGGCAGGGUCGUAACUCCACGGUGAGCGAGAAGGGGACGUCAGCGCUGAUGACUGUGGAGCUAGAUGAGGAAAGAGGAGCUCAGAUGCAGGUCCAGCAAGGGAAAGAACCUCCUUGUUUCCUACAAUGCUUCAAUGGAGGAAUGAUUGUUCAUGCUGGAAAGCGAGAGGAAGAGGAGGAAAAUGCACAAAAUGAAUGGCAGUUGUACUGUGUAAGAGGAGAGAAACCCAUAGAAGGCCAUCUGCUGGAGGUGGUGUGCCACUGCAGCAGCCUGCGCUCCCGUACCUCCCUCAUUCUCCUGAACAUCCCUAGAGCCAGCAUGUACCUGUGGCACGGCUGCAAGGCUCAGACGCACACGCGGGAUGUGGGCCGUACCGCUGCCAACAAGAUCAAGGAGCAGUGUCCACUGGAGGCGGGGCUUCACAGCAGCAGUAAGGUGUCCAUCCAGGAGUGUGAUGAAGGAGCAGAACCGCUGGGCUUCUGGGAGGCCUUGGGAAGGAGAGAUCGAAAGGCUUAUGAUUGCAUGUUGCAGGAUCCAGGGAAGUUUAACUUCACUCCUCGUCUGUUCCAGCUAAGCAGCACUUCAGGAGAGUUUGUGGCAGUGGAGUUCUUGUAUCCAUCCAGAGAGCCGAAUCUAGUCAACUCGAUGCCUUUCCUGCAAGAGGAUUUAUAUACAGCCACUCAGCCAGCUCUAUUUCUGGUGGAUAAUCACCAUGAAGUUUACCUGUGGCAAGGCUGGUGGCCUGUUGACAGUGAGAGCACGGGCUCAGCUCGCAUACGAUGGGACUCCGACAGGAAGUGUGCAAUGGAAACUGUGCUACAGUACUGCAAAGAAAAAAAUGAGAAAAAACCUCCGAAAUCAUACCUGAUCCACGCAGGGCUGGAACCUCUUACCUUCACUAACAUGUUUCCCAGCUGGGACCACCGAGAAGACAUUGCUGAGAUCACAGAGAAGGAAGCCGAAGUGUGUAAUCAGAUUAUCCUUGUUGAGGACGUCUUGACUAGACUCUGCAAGACCACUUACCCAUUAACUGAUCUACAAGCCCGUCCUCUACCAGAAGGCGUUGACCCUCUACGUCUCGAGAUCUACCUAUCAGAUGAAGACUUUGAGUCUUGCAUCUGACAGAGGUUAAUUUUUCCCUUCACAUGGCAGGGUGUAGGGGCUUCUGGGAAGAAAGCAUUGGAUAUGACAAGAAGUGAAUAUGAGGCGUUGCCAGGAUGGAAGCAAGUGAAUGUGAAGAAAGCCAAAGGAUUGUUUUAGUGUGAAAUGUGUUCGGAACUACACUGGAACUGCCGAGUGAAACUGCAGGUGGAAAACUUUCUCAUUCCUUUUGUUCCAGGAGGGAAAAAACAAGUGAAACUCUACCUGUGUCAAACCACACAGGGAGGAAGACGUUAAAGAGAAGACCGCGAUUACCAGGGGUUUGCCAGCCUCUUGUACCACAUGCUUCCUAUUUUGUUUCGUUUAAUUUAAGGUUUUAGUUUUAUUCUUUUUGUUCUGCUCCGUUUUCGUGUUGGAUGUUUUGGAAGCUCCCAAGUUUGUUGUUUUCUUCCUGUGCACAUCAUAGAAGCCAUUCAGCUGUCCAGCAUGCACAGUUCAGCCCUCAUGCACUGCCUAGCUUUACGUAAAGACCCAAUUAAAGCAGCCUUUUAGUAUUAUGUGAAUGUAAGAAAGCUCAGAUGUGUCAUUGUUAUGAAAUCAUGUAUGCACUGGUGUCACAUUAUGUAAUUAAGUUCUUAUCAUUCAUACCUGCUUACUUAUCAUCCAGAUAGGUGCUUGAUCUUUUUUGUUUGUGUGAGUGUUUGAGACUCUGUACAGUGUGUGAAAGUGUCUCUUCGAAUAGGCUGAAUCGAAAUGAAAAUUGUGGAAUAAGAGAAUAUGUCUUUCUAUUCUGCAUUGUAUAGUGCCUUGCCUACAUGUACAGUUUAUAUAAAGACAGAUGCUAGUCUGCAUUUUUGAAGACUUAUUUGUGAUAUAAAUAAAUAUUAGAGCAAAAUAAACACUGAAAUAUGUAGAUAACAAA